GUGCUUGCUUCGGCAGCACUUACACUAAAAUUGGAACGACACAGAAGAUUAGCAUGGCCCCUGGGCAAGGAUGACAGGCAAAUGCGUGAAGUGUUCCAUAUUUUU